rnacentral:rRNA from 1 species
UAACGAAUAUUGGGCAAUGGGCGAAAGCCUGACCCAGCGACGCCGCGUGUGGGAAGAAGUUCUUCGGAAUGUAAACCACUGUCAGGGACUGCCAAGCAAAUCUGUCUAAUAGGCAGGUAAGUUGAGGAGUCCCAGAGGAAGCCACGGCUAACUUCGUGCCAGCAGCCGCGGUAAUACGAAGGUGGCAAGCGUUGUUCGGAAUCACUGGGCUUAAAGAGUACGUAGGCGGCUCGUCAAGUGCUUUGUGAAAUCCCCCGGCCCAACCGGGGAAUUGCUGAGCAUACUGUCGAGCUUGAGGCAGGUAGGGGCGCGUGGAACUCUUGGUGGAGCGGUGGAAUGCGUAGAUAUCAAGAGGAACGCCGGAGGCGAAAGCGAUGCGCUGGGCCUGUCCUGACGCUGAGGUACGAAAGCUAGGGGAGCAAACG